rnacentral:misc_RNA from 1 species
GAUACUACCCAGGAUUAUAAACCAAAGAGAGAAGAAGAGCAUAGAAAAAUAUUUAUUCAAUAGCCCUCUUUCUUGGAAGAACCAGAACAAAGUAACUGAUACAAGUCUGAUACAAAAUAAAAGAAAUUGAUAACUACCCUAUCUCUUAUUUAGAUAACUACUUAGUAACUACUUGAUAGGGAUAACAACAAUAACAAAAAAAUACAGUUUAGAAUAAUUUAACAAGACCAAACCAUACUAGGCAAUCAAAAUUAAGUUCUUAACAAUGUGAAAACUUUUUAAUGAGUUUCUUUAAUCAUUGUGAAAGUGAAAAUAAUUAAACUUCAACAUCUUAUAAAAGAAGCACUUAAUUUUUAUGAUUAUGGGUAGACUCAGCAAAAUGUCGGUUUUGAGUUGAAACUGGCCAUUUCUUGGCCCUUGGGACUUGAACUGAAACCGGCCUAGAUUUAGCUAGGUGAAAAU